GUGCUUAACACAUGCAAGUCGGACGAUGAAGCCCUUCGGGGUGGAUUAGUGGCGAACGGGUGAGUAACACGUGAGCAACCUGCCCUUGACUCUGGGAUAAGCCUGGGAAACUGGGUCUAAUACCGGAUAUUCGGUUCCUGCCGCAUGGUGGGGGCUGGAAAGCCUUGUGCGGUCUUGGAUGGGCUCGCGGCCUAUCAGCUUGUUGGUGGGGUGAUGGCCUACCAAGGCGACGACGGGUAGCCGGCCUGAGAGGGUGACCGGCCACACUGGGACUGAGACACGGCCCAGACUCCUACGGGAGGCAGCAGUGGGGAAUA
rnacentral:rRNA from 1 species